rnacentral:rRNA from 1 species
GAAAGAUGGCUUUGGCUAUCACUCUGGGAUGGACCUGCGGUGCAUUAGCUAGUUGGUAAGGUAACGGCUUACCAAGGCGAUGAUGCAUAGCCGAGUUGAGAGACUGAUCGGCCACAAUGGAACUGAGACACGGUCCAUACUCCUACGGGAGGCAGCAGUAGGGAAUCUUCCACAAUGGGCGCAAGCCUGAUGGAGCAACACCGCGUGAGUGAAGAAGGGUUUCGGCUCGUAAAGCUCUGUUGUUGGAGAAGAACGUGCGUGAGAGUAACUGUUCACGCAGUGACGGUAUCCAACCAGAAAGUCACGGCUAACUACGUGCCAGCAGCCGCGGUAAUACGUAGGUGGCAAGCGUUAUCCGGAUUUAUUGGGCGUAAAGCGAGCGCAGGCGGUUGCUUAGGUCUGAUGUGAAAGCCUUCGGCUUAACCGAAGAAGUGCAUCGGAAACCGGGCAACUUGAGUGCAGAAGAGGACAGUGGAACUCCAUGUGUAGCGGUGGAAUGCGUAGAUAUAUGGAAGAACACCAGUGGCGAAGGCGGCUGUCUGGUCUGCAACUGACGCUGAGGCUCGAAAGCAUGGGUAGCGAACAGGAUUAGAUACCCUGGUAGUCCAUGCCGUAAACGAUGAGUGCUAGGUGUUGGAGGGUUUCCGCCCUUCAGUGCCGG